GCGAUAACGGAGAACUUUUUACAUAUUCCGGUAGAGAUUUACAACAUGAAUUCAAAAAUCUCCUCAUCUGAAAAUGUGGUUAAUUAUUUCCCGGGUUUUUAAAUAAAAAUUCAUUACAAAAUCUAAAUUGAUUUUUUUUCCCAAAUCAAACC